ensembl:lncRNA
CUCUAGAAGAUGCAUUUUUCUUAAAUACUCUAAAUUUUCCUAAAGAAUGGAUACUUGGAAUGUUUUAGAAAAAUGCACUCAUUUGGCGAUUUCCACACGAUCAGAUAAAGGUGGUGGGAGUGUGGGUGGGGUGAGGAAGGUACUGAGAGGUGCUCCUGUGUAAAGAGUCAGUCAGGGCCUGGUGAGUCAGGGGACCAGCCACCAUUGCAAGAAGUUAGGAGAGCCAAGAGAAUGCCGUGCGCCCACUGGGACUGAAAGGUCGGAAGACUGAAGGAGGAGAAAUCUCAGACAGAAUUUGUUUGAGGCCAUGGAGAAUUCUUUACAGGAUGCCAGUCAUUUAUAUUUGAACUUGGUAAUUGCUUCCCAUUCCAAACAUUCAAACUCUAUGUCCAAAUCCAAUCCACCUUCAAUUCUUAAGUGCUUAUUUUUUAACAGAACUGAUUAAAGAGUCUUUAGACGUUAAAUCCCAUUGCUUUCGUCUCUCACCAAGUGUUAGUGAAAUCUCCUUUUUGUCAUUGUAAUGAGAGAUAAAUUUUAGUUUAUAUUGUACUGAGAAAACAAAAGGCUUCUGCCAUUUGUGCACUGCAGAAAUACAUCUUCUGUCGGUGCUUAGACCUCCCACCUCUCCUCCUCCCCUGCACACACUAAAGAAGGGUGAAAAAAAAAACCCCACACAUAUACUCUGAUACCACUUAGGGGAAAAAGCACACAUGCACAGGUCUUGUUAUUAAGUGCAGUAUCUGUAGCUCAACUAAAGUACUUUUUGAGUAACAUUUCUCCGAGCCACACCGGAUGGGGAAUGUGAAAACUGCUACAGAUGCUGUUCAGCCGGCAGUUGCGGCAGCACUGGCCGGUGGCUGGGAACACCAGUCUCUGACCUCUCCAUCGCUUGCUUUUUUGACAAGUGACUGGGGGGGGGGGGAGUCCUUAGACUUUGCACAUUCCAUCCCACAUAGACCUUUUUGCCUCUGCUUCUGUUUCCAAGGCUAGGGCACAGAGAGCUGUUGUUCUCAGGGCUUUGAAAUCCAUGCUUCUGGGAUGUGACAGAUUCACGUCACCCUUUACAGGCAGGCGUACACCCCAGGGUGCGGACCUGAAGAGGCUGUGAGAACCUGUUGGCUGAGGGUGUCUGGACAUCCCCUACUCCCAGCACAGGAGCUCCCCUCUCCCUGCUUCCCCGCCCUUUCUCCAAGUCAUUUAAAUGCAGAAUGGCAGGAAUCCUUGGAGGUGGAUGUGUGCACAAGAUGAGCAGGUGCAGAGACCUGAUUCAGAUGAGAAGUUCAAACAUGACUUUCUAAAAGUGUGUUCUCAUUUACUGUUUUUUUUUUUUUUUGAGGGCAGUCUUUCCAAUCUUUGAUAACCUGCAUGACUCCCUGCCAACAGAUCAUUCAGAAAACAUGCCCUAGCAAUUUUGAUCACAGGUAGUUUGAAAUCUAUGGAAAUAAUGAGAGUUCGAAGAGGUGUUUAAAAAAACGUAAAUUGCGAGCUAUAUGAUAAGCUGGCUCACCUGCUGUUUCUAAGUGGUUAGGUUUUCAUUCCUCUGGGAAAAAAUAAGUAAAAACAAUCCAAUUUUAUUUCUUUUUUUUUUGUAAAUCUUAUAGUUAUUUUGAUACUUAAGAAAUCGGAAAGUAAAUAGAUAGAUUAUUUCAAAUGUCAUAGCAGCACUUUGGUGCCUGGUAGGGGCUUAAAUUUUACAGAAAUACAUAUUUGAUAAUAGUACCAAACUACGGAGAUCAUAGACUAUUUAAAGAACAAGUGAAUUUAGAUUAAUAUAAGUAGAACUUUGAAGAGUAAAAUACAACCAGCAAAUA